rnacentral:rRNA from 1 species
UACGUAGGGUCCGAGCGUUGUCCGGAAUUAUUGGGCGUAAAGGGCUCGUAGGCGGUCUGUUGCGUCGGGAGUGAAAACUUACAGCUUAACUGUGAGCGUGCUUUCGAUACGGGCAGACUUGAGGCAUUCAGGGGAGAACGGAAUUCCUGGUGUAGCGGUGAAAUGCGCAGAUAUCAGGAGGAACACCAAUAGCGAAGGCAGCUCGCUGGGACGGUACUGACGCUAAGGCGCGAAAGCGUGGGGAGCGAACAGG